rnacentral:rRNA from 1 species
UCAAAUAUCAAUAGGGAGGAAAAGAAACUAACUAGGAUUCCCUUAGUAACGGCGAGUGAACCGGGAUGAGCUCAAAUUUAAAAUCUGGCGUCUUUCAGGCGUCCGAGUUGUAAUCUAUAGAGGCGUUUUCCGCGCCGGACCGCGUCCAAGUCUCUUGGAAUAGAGUAUCAAAGAGGGUGACAAUCCCGUACUUGACGCGACAACCGGUGCUCUGUGAUACGUUCUCAAUGAGUCGAGUUGUUUGGGAAUGCAGCUCUAAAUGGGUGGUAAAUUCCAUCUAAGGCUAAAUAUUGGCGAGAGACCGAUAGCGAACAAGUACCGUGAGGGAAAGAUGAAAAGCACUUUGGAAAGAGAGUUAAACAGCACGUGAAAUUGUUAAAAGGGAAACGAUUGAAGUCAGUCGUGUGAAAGGUAUUCAGCCGUCUCUGGCGGUGUAUUUGCCUUUCACGGGUCAACAUCAGUUUGAUCCGGUAGAAAAAGGCAGGAGGAAGGUGGCACCCUCGGGUGUGUUAUAGCCUCUUGUCAUAUGUGCCGGACCAGACUGAGGAACGCAGCUUGCCGCAAGGCCGGGGUUCGCCCACGUACAAGCUAGGAGCAAUCAG